rnacentral:tRNA from 3 species
GGAGGGGUGGGAGAGUGGCUUAAUCCAACGGUUUGCUAAACCGUCGUAGGGAUUAUACCUUACCGCGGGUUCGAAUCCCGCCCCCUCCGCCA